CUUGCUUUCUUUGCUGGCGACCGGCGCACGGGUGAGUAACACGUAUCCAACUUGCCCUUUACUCGGGGAUAGCCUUUCGAAAGAAAGAUUAAUACCCGAUAGCAUAAUGAUUCCGCAUGGUUUCAUUAUUAAAGGAUUCCGGUAAAGGAUGGGGAUGCGUUCCAUUAGGUUGUUGGUGAGGUAACGGCUCACCAAGCCUUCGAUGGAUAGGGGUUCUGAGAGGAAGGUCCCCCACAUUGGAACUGAGACACGGUCCAAACUCCUACGGGAGGCAGCAUG
rnacentral:rRNA from 1 species